rnacentral:rRNA from 2 species
AGAGUUCGAUCAUGGCUCAGAACGUACGCUGGCGGCACGCCUAACACAUGCAAGUCGAACGAAGUAGCAAUACUUAGUGGCAGACGGGUGAGUAACAUGUAGGUAUCUGCCCUUUGGCCUGGAAUAACACGAGGAAACUUGUGCUAAUACCGGAUAAGUCUUUACGGAGAAAGCUUUAUGCACCAUUGGAUGAGCCUGCACUUGAUUAGUUUGUUGGUGGGGUAAUGGCCUACCAAGACUGUGAUCAAUAGCUGAUUUGAGAGGAUGAUCAGCCACAUUGGGACUGAGACACGGCCCAAACUCCUACGGGAGGCAGCAGUGGGGAAUCUUGCACAAUGGAGGAAACUCUGAUGCAGCGAUGCCGCGUGAGUGAAGAAGGCCCUUGGGUUGUAAAGCUCUUUCGUCGGGGAAGAAAAUGACUGUACCCGAAUAAGAAGGUCCGGCUAACUUCGUGCCAGCAGCCGCGGUAAUACGAAGGGACCUAGCGUAGUUCGGAAUUACUGGGCUUAAAGAGUUCGUAGGUGGUUGAAAAAGUUAGUGGUGAAAUCCCAGAGCUUAACUCUGGAACUGCCAUUAAAACUUUUCAGCUAGAGUAUGGUAGAGGAAAGCAGAAUUUCUAGUGUAGAGGUGAAAUUCGUAGAUAUUAGAAAGAAUACCAAUUGCGAAGGCAGCUUUCUGGAUCAUUACUGACACUGAGGAACGAAAGCAUGGGUAGCGAAGAGGAUUAGAUACCCUCGUAGUCCAUGCCGUAAACGAUGUGUGUUAGACGUUGGAAAUUUAUUUUCAGUGUCGCAGGGAAACCGAUAAACACACCGCCUGGGGAGUACGACCGCAAGGUUAAAACUCAAAUGAAUUGACGGGGACCCGCACAAGUAGUGGAGCAUGUGGUUUAAUUCGAAGAUACGCGCAGAACCUUACCAACACUUGACAUGUUCGUCGCGACUCUAAGAGAUUAGAGUUUUCGGUUCGGCCGGACGAAACACAGGUGCUGCAUGGCUGUCGUCAGCUCGUGUCGUGAGAUGUUGGGUUAAGUCCCGCAACGAGCGCAACCCUCACUUUUAGUUGCCAUCAUUAAGUUGGGCACUCUGAAAGAACUGCCAGUGAUAAGCUGGAGGAAGGUGGGGAUGACGUCAAGUCCUCAUGGCCCUUACGUGUUGGGCUACACACGUGCUACAAUGGUAUCUACAACAGGAAGCAAGACUGCGAAGUUAAGCAAAUCCCUAAAAGAUACCUCAGUUCGGAUUGCACUCUGCAACUCGAGUGCAUGAAGCUGGAAUUACUAGUAAUCGUGGAUCAGCGUGCCACGGUGAAUGCGUUCCCGGGUCUUGUACACACCGCCCGUCACACCAUGGGAGUUGGUUCUACCUUAAGGCAAGGUUUUAAACCCUUGACCACGGUAUAGUCAGCGACUGGGGUGAAGUCGUAACAAGGUAGCC